rnacentral:lncRNA from 1 species
CGUCGCAGGUCGACAGUGCGUUCCCAGACCCUUCGACCUGCGUACGAUCCUCCGACAAAGUUCGGGAUGCCCCGAGUGUCAACAGUGCGUGCCCAGACCCCUCGACACUUCGAAAAGACGGGGUAGUACCUUCGCGACCCUCCAUGGCGCUCAACACCAACAACGAGGUAGUAUCUUCGCGGUCGGUCGAGAUGCCCCGAGUGUCGACAGUGCAUGCCCAGACCCCUCG